rnacentral:rRNA from 1 species
GACGAACGCUGGCGGCGUGCUUAACACAUGCAAGUCGAACGAAGUGGCGGACUGGUGAGUAACGCGUAAUCAACCUGCCCUUCAGCGGGGGACAACAGUUGGAAACGACUGCUAAUACCGCAUACAGAUGGAGGGGAUUCCGUCUGAUUAGCUAGUUGGAGGGGUAACGGCCCACCAAGGCGAUGAUCAGUAGCCGGCCUGGAAGGAGGAACGGCCACAUUGGGACUGGGACACGGCCCAGACUCCUGCGGGAGGCAGCAGUGGGGAAUCUUCCGGAAUGGACGCAAGGCUGACGGAGCAACGCCGCGUGGAGGAUGACGGCCUGCGGGGUGUAAAGAUCUGUUAAUCGGGAAGCGGUACCGGAAUAGAAAGCCACGGCUAACUACGUGCCAGCAGCCGCGGUAAUUC